rnacentral:rRNA from 1 species
UACGGAGGGUGCAAGCGUUAUCCGGAUUCACUGGGCUUAAAGGGUGCGUAGGCGGGCUGGUAAGUCAGUGGUGAAAUCUCCAGGCUUAACUUGGAAACUGCCAUUGAUACUAUCAGUCUUGAAUACCGUGGAGGUCAGCGGAAUAUGUCAUGUAGCGGUGAAAUGCUUAGAUAUGACAUAGAACACCAAUUGCGAAGGCAGCUGGCUACACGAAUAUUGACGCUGAUGCGCGAAAGCGUGGGGAUCAAACAGG